CCUACGGGUGGCAGCAGUGAGGAAUAUUGGUCAAUGGGCUUACGCCUGAACCAGCCAAGUCGCGUGAGGGAAGACUGCCCUAUGGGUUGUAAACCUCUUUUGUCAGGGAGCAAUUGGCGCUACGUGUAGCGUUAUCGAGAGUACCUGAAGAAAAAGCAUCGGCUAACUCCGUGCCAGAAGCCGCGGUAAUACGGAGGAUGCGAGAGUUAUCCGGAUUUAUUGGGUUUAAAGGGUGCGUAGGCGGAAUGCCAAGUCAGCGGGAAAAUCGCGGGGCUCAACCUCGCUCCGCCGUUGAAACUGGCGUUCUUGAGUGGGCGAGAAGUAUGCGGAAUGCGUGGUGUAGCGGUGAAAUGCAUAGAUAUCACGCAGAACUCCGAUUGCGAAGGCAGCAUACCGGCGCCCAACUGACGCUGAAGCACGAAAGCGUGGGUAUCGAACAGGAUUAGAUACCCCAGUAGUC
rnacentral:rRNA from 1 species